AUUGAACGCUGGCGGCAGGCUUAACACAUGCAAGUCGAGCGGGGACUUCGGUCCUAGCGGCGAACGGGUGAGGAAUGCUUGGGAAUCUGCCCAGUAGCGGGGGAUAACGUUUCGAAAGGAACGCUAAUACCGCAUACGCCCUACGGGGGAAAGGGGGGGAUCUUCGGACCUCUCACUAUUGGAUGAGCCCAAGUCGGAUUAGCUAGUUGGUGGGGUAAAGGCCUACCAAGGCGACGAUCCGUAGCUGGUCUGAGAGGAUGAUCAGCCACACUGGAACUGGGACACGGUCCAGACUCCUACGGGAGGCAGCAGUGGGGAAUUUUGGACAAUGGGCGAAAGCCUGAUCCAGCCAUGCCGCGUGUGUGAAGAAGGCCUUCGGGUUGUAAAGCACUUUAAGCGAGGAGGAAUGGCUCUUGGUUAAUAACCUUGAGCAGUGACGUUACUCGCAGAAUAAGCACCGGCUAACUCUGUGCCAGCCGCCGCGGUAA
rnacentral:rRNA from 1 species